GUAAAGGUUGGAGUGUGACAGAAAUCAUAACAUAACCAUAAUAAUCAUAAAAUAAUGCCCACUUUGCUAGGGAACUUGAUGGUGUUGAUAAGAUAAGAUACACGAAUGUGUGCCACUGCCACUUUGGCUCAAUGAUUACCAUGAACACAUAAGAAGCAGUGAAAAACUUUUCUUUGGGUGAACCCCUUUCAAGGGACUCUUAACAUGUAAGGUCAGUGUCAUAAUCUGUUUUCUUUUAUUGUCAAAAAGUUAUUCAUUCCCAGUAUUGUUGUGGACUUGUUAAUUUCCUCCUGAAUCAGUUUUUGUGAUGGUAAAGCAAAAUAGAGUUUAUUCGCUUUGACAUACAGUACUAUCAAUCAGAGAUAAAGGAGCACUCAUCAACUGAUAUUCUGGGUUUGUGAAAGGGACAAUGAUCUACAUGCAUUUUUUUUGAAGGCACCUUCUCAGAAUCACGCAAAAGGUCUGCAAGGAUCUCUUUCAUUGUUGAGCUGAAAGAAAUGUAACUUCCAAUGUUUAACAAGUAUCACGAGGUGAUUGGUCAGAUUCAGUUAUAGUACUGAAUUACUGAUCCUGAUAAAAAAGGGUGUAAUACAGAUACAAAGUGAUUAACAAAGGAAAAUAUCGUGCUCGAUCAAAAUUUCUGCUAUCAUGUUAAUAAUGGAUACAUAAUUGUUGGAAAGUGUCAUGUUGUAUAGAGAUGACCAUGUUAAGUAACAUGUAAGUCACAAAAUUGCACGCACUUAGGGUGUGUUUGUUUACGCAUUUGGAUGCGGUUUACAUGUGUUUCAAAUGCAUAAUCAAACACACAUUUUAAUGCUGUAAAAUCUUGGGUUGAAUGUGGUGUGGACUAUAUUUUUGUGGUUCACUUCUUAAUUGGAAUUCUCCCUGCUUAAAACCUUAAUGUCUUAUGGUUUCUGUCGAGGCUCAAGGGCAUUCAUUUGGACUUCAGUGAGAUGGGAAGACCAUUGACAAUGGAACUCAUAAAUAUGAACUGUUGUUAUGGUUAUGGGUUAAGCACUCAACUAUGAUUGUUUUUAGGUUUCA